rnacentral:pre_miRNA from 1 species
UCUUUGGUUAUCUAGCUGUAUGAGUGUAAACGACGUCAUAAAGCUAGGUUACCAAAGUUA